rnacentral:misc_RNA from 1 species
GAAAUGCGAUACUUGGUGUGAAUUGCAGAAUUCCGUGAAUCAUCGAGUCUUUGAACGCACAUUGCGCCCCCUGGUAUUCCGGGGGGCAUGCCUGUCCGAGCGUCAUUGCUGCCCUCAAGCACGGCUUGUGUGUUGGGCCUCCGCCCCCCUCCCGGGGGGCGGGCCCGAAAGGCAGCGGCGGCACCGCGUCCGGUCCUCGAGCGUAUGGGGCUUCGUCACCCGCUCUUGUAGGCCCGGCCGGCGCCCGCCGGCGACCCCCCUCAAUCUUUCUCAGGUUGACCUCGGAUCAGGUAGGGAUACCCGCUGAACUUAA